rnacentral:misc_RNA from 1 species
GAUGAAGAACGCAGCGAAAUGCGAUAAGUAGUGUGAAUUGCAGAAUUCAGUGAAUCAUCGAAUCUUUGAACGCACAUUGCGCCCCUUGGUAUUCCAUGGGGCAUGCCUGUUCGAGCGUCAUUUGUACCUUCAAGCUCUGCUUGGUGUUGGGUGUUUGUCUCGCCUCUGCGUGUAGACUCGCCUCAAAACAAUUGGCAGCCGGCGUAUUGAUUUCGGAGCGCAGUACAUCUCGCGCUUUGCACUCAUAACGACGACGUCCAAAAGUACAUUUUUACACUCUUGACCUCGGAUCAGGUAGGGAUACCCGCUGAACUUAAGCAUAUCAAAAGCGGAGGA